UGACCUCAGAUCAGGCAAGGCAACCCGCUGAAUUUAAGCAUAUUAAUAAGCGGAGGAAAAGAAACUAACAAGGAUUCCCCUAGUAAUGGCGAAUGAAGCGGGAACAGCUCAAAUUUGAAAUCUCCGUUGCUUGCAACGGCGAAUUGUAGUUUCGAGAAGCACUUUCUCGGCGGAUCCGAGGUCGUCCAAGUUGCUUGGAACAGCACGUCGUAGAGGGUGACAACCCCGUCUGCGGCGACCUCGGCCGUUCACGAUGUGCUUUCGACGAGUCGGGUUGUUUGGGAAUGCAGCCCAAAAUGGGUGGUAAACUCCAUCUAAAGCUAAAUAUUGGCACGAGACCGAUAGCGAACAAGUACCUUGAAUGAAAGAUGAAAAGCACUUUGAAAAGAUAGUUAAAAAGUACGUGAAACCGUUAAAAGGGAAACGAAUGGGGUUAGCAAUGCGUCGUGCGAGAUUCAGCCGGUGGGUGGGCCAGGCGGGCGGUUGGCGGAUCUGAAUGGACCGCUGCCGUUCGGGUUGGUUUCCCGACCGUCGCACUUCUCGCAGGCGCGCGCCAACGUCGGUUAGGGCUGGGUUUCAAAGGCGGUGGAAAGGUAGGUUUGGACUCUCGGGCCCGAACUGUUGCAGUCCUCCGUUUGUCAUGGCCCGGACCUGACCGAGGAGCUUGCGGUGCAUGCCGUUCGGCUAGGGUCCCGUCUUCCCGGUCGGUCGUCGAAUGCGGUGGACUGCGUGCAGUGCGCCGCGACUGCUGCCGGUCGCGAGGGCGGUGAUUUCGUACUAUGCACCCACGACGUUGGCGAUCAUAUGGCCUCAUCCGACCCGUCUUGAAACACGGACCAAGGAGUCUAACAUGUGUGCGAGUCUUUGAGUGAUCGAAACUCCGAGGCGAAAUGAAAGUGAAGGCGACUUCGGUCGCUGAGGUGAGAGCCUUUUACAAAAAAAAGGCGCAUCAUUGACCGACCUAUUCUACUCUUAGAAAGGUUUGAGUAAGAGCGCAUCUGUUGGGACCCGAAAGAUGGUGAACUAUGCCUGAAUAGGGUGAAGCCAGAGGAAACUCUGGUGGAGGCUCGUAGCGAUUCUGACGUGCAAAUCGAUCGUCAAAUUUGGGUAUAGGGGCGAAAGACUAAUCGAACUGUCUAGUAGCUGGUUCCCUCCGAAGUUUCCCUCAGGAUAGCUGGAACUUACGGCAGUUUUAUCAGGUAAAGCGAAUGAUUAGAGGUCUUAGGGUUAAAACAACCUUAACCUAUUCUCAAACUUUAAAUUGGUAAGAAGUCCGACUUGCUUAAUUGAAGCCGGACAGUGAAUGCGAGUUCCUAGUGGGCCAUUUUUGCUAAGCAGAACUGGCGAUGCGGGAUGAACCGAACGCGCGGUUAAGGUGCCAAAGUCGACGCUCAUCAGACCCCACAAAAGGUGUUGGUUGCUCUAGACAGCAGGACGGUGGCCAUGGAAGUUGGAAUCCGCUAAGGAGUGUGUAACAACUCACCUGCCGAAGCAACUAGCCCUGAAAAUGGAUGGCGCUCAAGCGUCGCACCUAUACCGUGCCGUCGGAGCAGAUGCGAAGCUCCGACGAGUAGGAGGGCGUGGGGGUCGUGACGCAGCCUCUGGCGCGAGCCUGGGUGAAACGGCCUCCAGUGCAGAUCUUGGUGGUAGUAGCAAAUAUUCAAAUGAGAGCUUUGAAGACCGAAGUGGAGAAAGGUUCCAUGUGAACAGCAGUUGGACAUGGGUUAGUCGAUCCUAAGAGAUAGGGAAAUUCCGUUUGCAAGCGCCCGAUCUUGGGCCGCCUAUCGAAAGGGAAU
rfam:Nematostella vectensis strain CH2 x CH6 NEMVEscaffold_849_Cont33449, whole genome shotgun sequence.